rnacentral:lncRNA from 1 species
AAGAACGUCUUCAAGUCUGAAGAUCAGCAGGAUCUAGUUACAUGCCAUAUUCCCUAAUUUUUUCAUAAACUUCCCCAAGGUGGGGUACUCAAUUUAUCGGGAUAAAUCUUUCUGUUUUAUGUCUCUAACUUUUGCCUAGAUCGCCCUUUCAGGUUUUCAAUCCACCGAGAUGCUCAUUUUUUCCUAAGCCGCCCUUUCGGGUUUUCAACUUAGCGAGUUGUUCUUUUCUU